GUAACUGCACAGACACACAAAAUGAUUAGCAUUAAGGAUAAUAAAAACAAAUUCUCAGGUAUGGCAUGAUUUGCUAUACUUGUGUUAUUACAGCAUCCAGGCCUCCCUGUCCCCAGGCGUAGUCUCCCGGAUUGGAAUGCAGCAUGCCUGUCCUGGAGAGCCACAAAGACCAUUUGUUGACAGUCACAUCGUCAUACCAAAUGACAUCCGGACAGCGCUCGAAGGUGAUGUCAACCUACCCUUCGACAGCGGGCGAGCGGUCGGGCCUGCUGCUGACUCUGGACCGAUGCCUCCUCUGGGUGUGUAGGCGCGGGGGUCGUGCCGGGCCCCAGUGGUCGCCGGCGCCUAGCGAACCCGCCAUGGGCCCCCCGAGGCCAGCGGGGACCGAGCCCCCGAUGGGUCCGCUUGCGAAACCCCCGAAGUCGCCAAGCCCGGCCAGGCGCCCGCCGGGGAGCCGUGGUUCCGAGUCGGGGUUGUCGCCGUCGAUGGAAAAGGGCCGCUCCAUUAACAGCAGGUGCCAAAGCUGCGAGGGUGACGACAAAACAACACGGGAGGCUGUCACUCAGUUAAGACAAGUACCUCUGCAAACUGAUUGGUUGUGUCAUCUAGUCCGUUGGCGUCUCCCUCUAAGAGGCUGCUGGAAUUACAGACAAAAAAAAAUGACAGCUCAUCACGAGAUGUAACCCAUCGAAUGAGUCACGGCUCUUACCUGGAAUCUUCCGUCACUUCCUCGAUGAAGCCCGACUCGCAGCGAGGACAGAUAUACUCCUUGAAAAGGUUAGAGUGCAUAGUUUUAAGAUUUAUGACAGAAUGAUAAAAUUAUACACAAUUUCUUUUCGGCCUGUUAAAAUUUCUUCUGAUUGAUGAUUUCAGAAUGUGUCCCAGGAAGACGUCUGACGUGCAUACAGAUGGACUUGUACUGUGUUUGUGUGUUACAUUUCCGCCAUAAUGUUGAUGCCAGUGCGAGUCAGCAGUCAGAGAUGGUUGGGGUGUCCUCCUCGUAAGUCAUCUACGCUAUUAUUGAACAAUGACACGGAGACGUGGAUGUCACUUGGCUUGGAAAAGCCACAGGUUCCAGCAGUGUCCACGUGAGACAAGCAGGCUGGAAUUAACCUCACAACUGCUCAGUCAGGUGUAAGCGGAGUCCCCUAAUACCUCAGCAGCAGUCAAAUAAAAUCAUUAUGCAAAAUGUAGGCGGUGGCAGCCGCUUCUGGUUGAGCAACAACGCAAGGAUACAGGUGUCAUCAUCUUCUUUUCGCCUUUGGGGCAAAGUCCAAGGUGCGCAAAGUGCUUUGCUACACACAAAUUUCGUCCGCAGCCCGGCAAAUCUAUUCAUCAUGAUUUGUCUUUGUCAUAAAUUGUCUUUUCAUUGUGUUGUCCGCAUUCAUCUGUUUUUUUCUGACACGUAAACGUUCUUGAAUCUAAAACUGAAUUAUGGCUGGGUGAUUAAUCAAUUAAUUAGCAUUUGUUUGUCAGCAUAGAUGUACUUUUAGCGGCAUUCCAUAUUGUUUGGAUCUAAUUUUAAAAUAGGAAUGUCAAUUUGAGAUCAGAGAAAAUUUACUAUAAUGAAUGAAUAAAAUAUAAUUGCUAAUUGUGUCAGUGGUGGCGAGAAACCUUUUUAUUAAGGGACAUUUUGGUUUACUUACAGUAAAGCCAGUGUUUCGAGUUUUUUUCCACCAAGUCCAACUAAGACACAAACUGCAUUUGAAUGUUUCAAUUUAAAUAUAUUACACAUUAAAUGCAACUGUAAUGAUCGGAGGAAUACAAAUGAACUUUGGCA